CCUACGGGAGGCAGCAGUGAGGAAUAUUGGUCAAUGGGCGGAAGCCUGUACCAGCCAAGUAGCGUGCAGGAUGACGGCCCUACGGGUUGUAAACUGCUUUUAUACGGGAAUAACGCGCCUUACGUGUAGGGCUUUGCAUGUACCGUAUGAAUAAGGACCGGCUAAUUCCGUGCCAGCAGCCGCGGUAAUACGGAAGGUCCGGGCGUUAUCCGGAUUUAUUGGGUUUAAAGGGAGCGUAGGCCGCAUGUCAAGCGUGCUGUGAAAUGUCCGGGCUCAACCCGGGCCUUGCAGCGCGAACUGGCGUGCUUGAGUCCGCGGAAAGCAGGCGGAAUUCGUCGUGUAGCGGUGAAAUGCUUAGAUAUGACGAAGAACCCCGAUUGCGAAGGCAGCUUGCUGCAGCGGAACUGACGCUGAUGCUCGAAAGCGCGGGUAUCGAACAGGAUUAGAUACCCGGGUAGUC
rnacentral:rRNA from 1 species